AGGUGUUUACUGUUUCCAAACCCUUGAGGAACGUCUGAUGAGCCAUCCUGAACUAAGCAGCACAGUGGGAUUCACUCAGUGGCUCAUGGAGAACCACAUUCACCAUUACCAUCAACCCAUGUUUGCAGUUUUUAUAUUUAGGAACACAAAGCAUAUAUUUACAGCUAUGGAUUUGCUUGUCAUGGGGAGAGAGAAGGAAGCACAGCAGGCGAUGAAGAUACAACUACUACAAAUCUUAUUCGGUCACACCUCUAGCCAUCGAGAUUCCAACCAAGCACCGUCAAUAUGCUUGCAAGCACAUCUUUAAAACUAGAAAGAAAAAAGAAAGCUGCUUUUUUUAAAAAUAAAAAAAAACACGAGAUUCUCCAAAUGUUGGAUUUUGAACCUAA